UACAGAGGGGGCAAGCGUUAUUCGGAAUUAUUGGGCGUAAAGGGCGCGUAGGCGGCUUCGCAAGUGACGGGUGAAAUCCCUCGGCUUAACCGAGGAACUGCCUGUCAAACUGCGUGGCUUGAGACCAGGAGAGGUGAGUGGAAUUCCCAGUAUAGCGGUGAAAUGCGUAGAUAUUGGGAGGAACACCAGUGGCGAAGGCGGCUCACUGGACUGGUACUGACGCUGAGGCGCGAAAGCGUGGGGAGCAAACAGG
rnacentral:rRNA from 1 species